CCUACGGGAGGCAGCAGUGGGGAAUUUUGGACAAUGGGCGCAAGCCUGAUCCAGCCAUGCCGCGUGAGUGAAGAAGGCCUUCGGGUUGUAAAGCUCUUUCAGACGGAAAGAAAUCUCUUGGGCGAAUACCCUGGGAGGAUGACGGUACCGUAAGAAGAAGCACCGGCUAACUACGUGCCAGCAGCCGCGGUAAUACGUAGGGUGCGAGCGUUAAUCGGAAUUACUGGGCGUAAAGCGUGCGCAGGCGGUGAUGUAAGACAGAUGUGAAAUCCCCGGGCUCAACCUGGGAACUGCGUUUGUGACUGCAUCACUCGAGUACGGCAGAGGGAGGUGGAAUUCCGCGUGUAGCAGUGAAAUGCGUAGAUAUGCGGAGGAACACCGAUGGCGAAGGCAGCCUCCUGGGCCAGUACUGACGCUCAUGCACGAAAGCGUGGGGAGCAAACAGGAUUAGAUACCCUGGUAGUCCACGCCCUAAACGAUGUCAACUAGUUGUCCGGUGAGGAGACUCAUUGAGUAACGCAGCUAACGCGUGAAGUUGACCGCCUGGGGAGUACGGCCGCAAGGUUAAAACUCAAAGGAAUUGACGG
rnacentral:rRNA from 1 species